UCGAGAAUCUUCCGCAAUGCGCGAAAGCGUGACGGAGCAAUGCCGCGUGAAGGAUGAAGGUCUUCGGAUUGUAAACUUCUGUCAAGAGGGAAAAACCGUGAUGGUACCUCUGGAGGAAGCCACGGCAAACUACGUGCCAGCAGCCGCGGUAAUACGUAGGUGGCGAGCGUUAUUCGGAAUCACUGGGCGUAAAGGGUCCGUAGGCGGUCUGUCAAGUCUGAUGUGAAAUCUUGGGGCUCAACCCCAAACGUGCAUUGGGUACUGACGGACUGGAGUGCAUCAGAGGCAAGCGGAAUUUGUGGUGUAGCGGUGGAAUGCGUAGAUAUCACAAGGAACGCCAAAGGCGAAAGCAGCUUGCUGGGAUGUCACUGACGCUGAGGGACGAAGGUCAGGGGAGCAA
rnacentral:rRNA from 1 species